rnacentral:rRNA from 1 species
GACGAACGCUGGCGGCGUGCUUAACACAUGCAAGUCGAACGGAAAGGCCCUGCUUUUGUGGGGUGCUCGAGUGGCGAACGGGUGAGUAACACGUGAGUAACCUGCCCUUGACUUUGGGAUAACUUCAGGAAACUGGGGCUAAUACCGGAUAGGAGCUCCUGCUGCAUGGUGGGGGUUGGAAAGUUUCGGCGGUUGGGGAUGGACUCGCGGCUUAUCAGCGUGUUGGUGGGGUAGUGGCUUACCAAGGCUUUGACGGGUAGCCGGCCUGAGAGGGUGACCGGCCACAUUGGUACUGAGAUACGGCCCAGACUCCUACGGGAGGCAGCAGUGGGGAAUAUUGCACAAUGGGCGGAAGCCUGAUGCAGCAACGCCGCGUGCGGGAUGACGGCCUUCGGGUUGUAAACCGCUUUCGCCUGUGACGAAGCGUGAGUGACGGUAAUGGGUAAAGAAGCACCGGCUAACUCCGUG